CCUCCUUUCUUCCGCCGUGCGGAAUAUUGGUCAAUGGGCGCGAGCCUGAACCAGCCAAGUCGCGUGAGGGAAGACGGUCCUAUGGAUUGUAAACCUCUUUUGUCGGGGAGCAAAAGACGCCACGCGUGGCGUUCCGAGAGUACCCGAAGAAAAAGCGUCGGCUAACUCCGUGCCAGCAGCCGCGGUAAUACGGAGGAUGCGAGCGUUAUCAGGAUUUAUUGGGGUUAAAGGGUGCGCAGGCGGUCUGUUAAGUCAGCGGUCAAAGCCCGGGGCUCAACCCCGGCCCGCCGUUGAAACUGGCAGUCUCGAGUUGGAGAGAAGUAUGCGGAAUGCGCGGUGUAGCGGUGAAAUGCAUAGAUAUCGCGCAGAACUCCGAUUGCGAAGGCAGCAUGCCGGCUCCACACUGACGCUGAGGCACGAAAGCGUGGGUAUCGAACAGGAUUAGAUACCCGUGUAGUC
rnacentral:rRNA from 1 species